GUGAUCCACCCAUCUUGGCCUCUCAAAGUGCUGGGAUUACAGGCAUGAGCAACCAUGCCCGGCCGAGGAGUAACAUUUAAAAAGAUUAAAUUGACGGUGGCCGUUUUUACUUCUGUUUCUUCUGAUGUUAAAAACUAAAUUCAAAUGACACACAUUGGAAGUAUAGGAAGAAGGGAGUAGUUCGAAAGACAGAUGUCAGCAUUUAUCAGAAAGCGCUAUCUGGUAUUUUCUAAGCACUCCCUCCCCCAAAAGCAUGUAUCUGUUAGAGACAUAUCUUGUUUUAGUGUACUUUGCUUUAUUGCACUUUGCAGAUAUUGCAUUUUAGAUUAAAGGUUUGUGCCAACCCUUCAUCGAGCCAAGUCUAUUGGCACUGUUUUUCAAACAGCGUGUGCUCACUUCCUGUCUCUGGGUCAUGUUUUGGUAAUUCUCAUGACAUUUCAAACUUUAUUAUUAUUACCACAUCUGUUAAGGAGAUCUGUGAUCAGUGAUCUCUGAUGUUACUAUUAUAAUUUUUUCUUGUUUUUGGUUUUGGUGGUUUUUUUUUUUUGGGAUUGGGGUGUCACUCUGUCACCCAGGCUGGAAUGUAGUGGUGUGACCAUAGCUCACUGCAGCCUCAAACUCCUGGGCUCAAGAGUUCCUCCCUCCUCAGGCUCCUGAGUGGCUGGGAUUACAGGUGUGAGCCACCAUGACUGGCUUCGUAAUUGUUCUGGGGUACCAUGGAUCUCAUUCAUGUAAAAUGGUAAACUUAAUCUAUAAAUGGGUGAUUUCCUUUUUUUUUUUUUUUUGUCUCGGUCUGUUGCCCAGGCUGGAGUACAGUGGCGCGAUCUCCACUCACUGCAAGCUCCGCCUCCCGGGUUCACGCCAUUCUCCUGUCUCAGCCUCCCGAGUAGCUGGGACUACAGGCGCCCACCACUGUGCCAGGCUAAUUUUUUUGUAUUUUUAGUAGGACUGGGUUUCACCGUGUUAGCCAGGAUGGUCUCAAUCUCCUGACCUCGCGAUCCGCCCUCCUUGGCCUCCCAAAGUGCUGGGAUUACAGGCGCGAGCCACCGCGACCGGCCUAAAUGGGUGAUUUCUGACUGCUUCACCAGCUAGCUGUUUCCCCACCUCUCACUCUCUCCUGCAGUCUCCCUAUUCUCUGCGACACAAUGAUAUUGCAUUUAGACCAAUUAAUAAUCUAUAACGGCCUCUCAGUGUCUAAGUGAAAGGAAGAAUCCCACAUCUCUCACUUUAAAUCAAAAGCUAGAAAUGAGUAAGCCUAGUGAGAAAGGCGUGUUGAGAGCUGAGAUAGGCUGAAAGCUGGGCAUCUUGUGCCAAAGUUAGCCAAGCUGUGAACACAAAGGAAAAGUUCUUGUAGGACUUUUGUGCUUGUGCUCCAGCAAACACAUAAGUGAUAAAAAGCCUUAUUGCUGAUGCAGAGAAAGUUUGAGUGGUCUGGUUAGAAGAUCAAACCAGCCACAACCUUCCCCUAAGCUAUGCCUAAUCCAGAGCGAGGCCCUAAUUCUCUUCAAUUCUAUAAAGGCUGAGAGAAGUGAGAAACUGCAGAAGAAGAGUUGGAAGCUAGCAGAGACUGGUUCAUAAGACUUAAGGGAAGAAGCUGUCUCCAUAACAUAAAAGUGCAAGGUGAAGCAGCAAGUGCUAAUUUAGAACUGCAAUAAGUUGUCCAGAAGAUCUAGCUAAGAUCCUUGGUGAAGGCUGCUGCACUGAACAACAGAUUUUCAAUGUAGAGGAAAGCGCCUUCUAUUGGAAGAUGCCAUCUAAGACUUUCAUAGUUAAAGAGGAGAAGCCAAUGUCUACAUUUAAAGGACAGCCGACUCUCUUGUAAGGCUCAUUUACCCUUCUGAAAAUCCUAGGGCUCUUAAGAAUGAUGCUAAAUCUACUCUGCCUGUGCUCUCAAAAAGGAAUAACAAAGCCUGGCUGUCAGCACUUCUGUUUACAGAAUGGCUUACCGAAUAUUUUAAGCCCACUGUUAAGAUCUUCUGCUCAGAAAAAAAGAUUCCUUUCAAAAUAUUACUGAUCAUUGACAAUGCACCUAGUCAUGUACAGAGACCAAUAUUAUUUUCCUGCCUUCUGAGACAGCAUCCAUUCUGCAGCCACAUAAAUCAAUGAGUAUUUUUGACUUCCAAGUCUUAUUACUAAAAAAAUACAUUUUGUAAGCCUAUAGCUGCCAUGGAUAGUUAUUCCUCUGAUGGAUCUGGGCAAAGUAAAUUGAAACCCUUAUGGAAUAGAUUCAUCAUCCUAGAUGUCAUUAAGAACACUCAUAAUUCAUAAGAUGAGGACAAAAUAUCAACAUUAACUGGAGUUUGGGAGAGGUUGAUUCCAACCCUCAUGGAUGACUUUAAGAGGUGUAAGACUUCAGUAGAAGAAGUUAUUGUGGAUGUGGUAGAAAUAGUAAGAGAACUAGAAUUAGAAGUGGAGUCUGAAGAUGUGACUGAAUUGCUGCACUCUCAUGAUAGAGCUUUAACAGAUGAGGAGGUUGCUUCUUAUAGAUGAGCAAAGAAAGUGGUUUCUUUUUUUUUUUUUUU
rnacentral:lncRNA from 1 species